rnacentral:lncRNA from 1 species
AUCUUGAAAACGGAAAAUAAAAACAGCAGACCUAUGAAGGUCGAAGGGGAAGAAAAGCUGUAUCGAUUGUUGAGAUCUGGCGACUUGUUUAAAUUUCAUCAGCCUCACUUCUAUGAACUCUCAGAGCUGAUUACCAACUCCUACCACUGUUAACCCUCAUCCAGGAAAAAGCUUAUGUCUUUAACAUUCUGAGUGGGCUUCAGCAUCCUUGCAUAUGUUCAAUUCUUAAAAACCUGUUGAAAUAAAAGAUCAGGAGACAUAGGAAGGAUGCCAGAAGAGAGCGUGGCCUCAUGUGUACCAGCUCUCUGCUCUCCUUUGCCUUGGGACGUUCCAUCCCUGGAAGUUUCCCUGCCCACAUCUUUGUAGAGAGUCCAUUCUCCAAGCUUCAGUGUGUCAUCUGUGAGGACUGUGACCAACCUGGUACAUCGCCUCAGGGCAUUCAUUUCAGGCUCCUUCUAAAUGGUCAAGGUUUGUAUGGAUUUUAAUCCCUGUUGCUGGUGCACUUCAGUUGGGCUUGGAAACUUUUUUCCCAUUUUCGUAGUAAUG